rnacentral:lncRNA from 1 species
AUGUCGGGCUGUGCUGUUGUUGCAGCUCUGCUCAGGGGCUGUGGGGUCUCAGCACCCAGGACCCCCGUGCUGGGCCAUCCCAAGCACCCACUAAAGCUCAGGGAGAUUCCCGCAGCUCUGCUCACCAGCCAGCAGCCUCACGCAGGCUGUGCACGGCUCUGGGCAGACACCAGCAGCCACACGCUGCCCCAAAGGCCCAGAACUACGCGGCAUCACCAGGACCCCACGGCGAUGCCCGCAGCCACACACACGUCCCCGCUGUGCGUGCAUCCACCACCCGUCAUUAACACCUCUGCCCCUGGGGCUGCCCGAGAGCGGCCCCUCCACGGAAGCACCCACAGAACGGCUCUCAAUCAUCCCCGCGGGGGGAGCCGCACCGGGACCCUCCCACUGCCGAACACCCCCGCCCCCAGGGCUGCCUCCUCCCCCCGACCCCGAGCCGUGCGGACGGUGGCGGUGCUGCCGGCGGCGUUGAGCCGCGCGGGGGGGGAAGGACGGGCGGGGCGGCCCUUUGUUGCAGGCGGCGGGCGGAGCACACGGAGCCGCCCCGCACCGCCCCGCACCGCCCCGCGACCCCCGCGGGCGGGGAGCCCCGGAGCCGCCCCGCGCUGCAGGCGGGAUCCGCGCCCCGAGCCGGUAAGCGGCGGGUGGGGGGCGAGUGUGUGUGUGUGUGCAAGGAUGGGGUGGUACGUGUGUGUGUGUGUGUGUAUAUGUGUGUGUAUAUGUGUGUGUGUGUGUGUGUGUGUAUAUGUGUGUGUGUGUUUAUAUGUGUGUGUGUGUGUGUGUGUGUGUGUAUAUGUAUGUGUGUGUGUAUAUGUGUGUGUGUGUACGCUGCUGGGUGGGCGCUUCUGUGCUGCCGUGCAGCGCCUGUGCGCGCUGUGCCGGGGGUCGCGUGUGUGUUGGUGUGUAACGGGGCUGGCGCUCGGGUGGGGAUCCCCACAGAUGCGUGUGCACAGCGGCAGCGGCUGCACAGAGCUUGCAAGAGCCGUGGGGGUGGCAGAGGGCCUGUGUGUGUGCAAGGGUGUGUGCAAUGCGUGCAGGGUGUGUGUGUGUGCGCUCAGUGCGUGGUGCAGGAGCACUCGGUGCGGGCUGUGCUGGCAGCAGCAGCGCGGGGCUGCGCUCGUUGGGGCGUUUCCAGGUGUUUGCAGUGCGGGGCGUGCGCCUCCCGUAAGCGCCGUGCGUGUGUUUACAUGCGUGUGGGGGUGUGCGAUGCACCGCCCGCCCCGGGAGCUGCACACGCAGCGCUAUGGCCGCCCCUGGGUGAGGAGCUGCGUGUGCUCCGUCACACGUGGGGCAGACGCGUGCAUUGUGCGUCCCACCUGUGUGAGUGUGUGCGGGACGGGCCGUGUGCGCGCUGUGUACACGCCGCGUGUCCUGGGUGUGCAGACACCGCCCCGAUGGCGCUCACAGCUGACACGGGGCGUCGUGUGGGGACAGUUGGGGCCACGCAGGUUGUGUGGUCUCGGUGUCGGCCUCCAGUGUCAGCUCCUGCAGCGCUGCGGCUGCUCUUGGAUUCCAGGAGCUCCUCUUCCCGCAGGCUGUACUGCAUUGAGAGGUGCUGCUGGGCCUGUGGGGAGCGGGGCCAAGGGGAGCAGUGCCGGGCUGGGCUCUGCGGGGCCGAGGGUGGCUCGGAAGGGGUCACACAUCCCUGCACCGGGAUCCCCUCGUUCCUUCACCCCGCGUGCGGCUCAGAGCCGCCCCAUCCCAACACGUGGGCAUCGCCCCCUGUCCCGCAACAUUCGUGGCCGGUGCCCGCAGGGCGGGAGGGCUGCUGGGGGCCCCGGGCCUCACGCGUUGCGGGAUGGGAGCCGGUUCGAAGCGGGGCCUCUUCCUGCUGCCAGCCGGGUGCGGCGGGACGCACAGAGCCGCCGUGUUGCCGCCGACACAUCCCGCGUGGCCGCGGCUGGGCCCGAGGAAGCCCCGUUGCACGGAACGCACACUGGGGGCAGCAGCUGA